rnacentral:rRNA from 1 species
GAUGAACGCUAGCGGGAGGCCUAACACAUGCAAGCCGAGCGGUAGAAUCUUUUCGGAGAUUUGAGAGCGGCGUACGGGUGAGGAACACGUGUGCAACCUGCCUUUAUCUGGGAGAUAGCCUUUCGAAAGGAAGAUUAAUAUCCCAUAAUAUAUUGAGUGGCAUCACUUAAUAUUGAAAGCUCCGGCGGAUAGAGAUGGGCACGCGCAAGAUUGGAUAGUUGGUGAGGUAACGGCUCACCAAGUCUACGAUCUUUAGGGGGCCUGAGAGGGUGAUCCCCCACACUGGUACUGAGACACGGACCAGACUCCUACGGGAGGCAGCAGUGAGGAAUAUUGGACAAUGGGUGCAAGCCUGAUCCAGCCAUCCCGCGUGAAGGAUUAAGGUCCUAUGGAUUGUAAACUUCUUUUAUACAGGGAUAAACCUCUCCUCGUGAGGAGAGCUGAAGGUACUGUAUGAAUAAGCACCGGCUAACUACGUGCCAGCAGCCGCCGUAA